GACGCAUUGGGUGGCAUCAUGGUGAAUUUGUGUCGGUAUUCCAAGUCGGGAACCACAGACUUGUUCACGGAGCCCACCCAGAGCAAGCACCUGCCAUGAGGGAGAGGAAAGCUGUGAGGACCCUGAGCCACAUGUCACAACCUCAGGAGGCAAUACAGAGAGAACCUGCCUGGGCGGCAAUCCUUUACAAAGAAGAGAGGCUUCUAGGCACUGACCAUUCUGGUACAUGUUACCUGGGGAGGUGGAGCAAACAUUUCCAUGGUUUCGGUGUUUGACUAGCUGUUAGCAGAGAGUAAGACCCUGGGGCUGGCAGGGAAGUUAAGCAAAGAACUCAGGAGGAGAAAGCACAAAGGAGAAGAUCGGAGGAGGGUAGAGGGAGAAGGGACUCCUAGAUGCUCAACCGAAGCUGACCAUAUAGACUGAAGAUUUUCAAUAAGAAAAAUAAAUAUGUAUCUUACAAUCUCCCUGGGCUCUGUGAAUAUCUGUGAUUGACUUGUAAUUGUUGUUUUUUUUUUUUUCAUAUUGGGCUAUAUCUGCACACUCAUGUUAGUGAUUUGGGCCAUACAGAGAAGUUAUAAACGUAUGAGGAUUUGCUUCUGUUUUCUUUUCUGGCAAGUACAGGAUGUUAAAUUUGUUUGUUCUUUCCUAAUUUGAAUCAUUAGAUAAAGAAGGAACUAGUUGCUGGGAAUUCUAAAGAAGAGGUAAAGUGGAUUGAAGAAAAGGAAUAGUAAUUUCUGGAAGGAAAUCGUAACAGAAGAGGAAGGAUGA